rnacentral:rRNA from 1 species
CAGCAGCCGCGGGAAUACGGAGGGUGCAAGCGUUAAUCGGAAUUACUGGGCGUAAAGCGCACGCAGGCGGUCUGUCAAGUCAGAUGUGAAAUCCCCGGGCUUAACCUGGGAACUGCAUUUGAAACUGGCAGGCUAGAGUCUUGUAGAGGGGGGUAGAAUUCCAGGUGUAGCGGUGAAAUGCGUAGAGAUCUGGAGGAAUACCGGUGGCGAAGGCGGCCCCCUGGACAAAGACUGACGCUCAGGUGCGAGAGCGUGGGGAGCAAACAGGAUUAGAUACCCGUGUAGUCCCUGUCUCUUAUAC